rnacentral:rRNA from 1 species
AGCGAACGCUGGCGGCAUGCCUAACACAUGCAAGUCGCGUCGGGGGUUUCGGUCAUCCGCUUCGGACGGCUGUGUAUCGCGCUGGACUGUAUCCCGAGGUGGGGGACAACCCUGGGAAACUGGGGCUAAUACCGCAUGUGGCCUGUGGGUCAAAGCCUUAGGGCGCCUUGGGAGCAGUCUUCGUCCGAUUAGGUAGUUGGUGGGGUAAAGGCCUACCAAGCCUGCGAUCGGUAGCUGGUCUGUGAGGACGAUCAGCCACCCUGGUACUGAGACACGGCCCAGACUCCUACGGGAGGCAGCAGUGGGGAAUAUUGGACGAUGGGCGCAAGCCUGAUCCAGCAAUGCCGCGUGGGUGAAGAAGGUCUUCGGAUUGUAAAGCCCUUUCGGCGGGGACGAUGAUGACGGUACCCGCAGAAGAAGCCCCGGCUAACUUCGUG